rnacentral:misc_RNA from 1 species
GAUGAAGAACGUAGCGAAAUGCGAUAAGUAAUGUGAAUUGCAGAAUUCAGUGAAUCAUCGAAUCUUUGAACGCACAUUGCGCCCGCCAGUAUUCUGGCGGGCAUGCCUGUUCGAGCGUCAUUACAACACUCAGGCCCCCGGGCCUGGCGUUGGGGAUCGGCGGAAGCCCCCUGUGGGCACACGCCGUCCCUCAAAUACAGUGGCGGUCCCGCCGCAGCUUCCAUUGCGUAGUAGCUAACACCUCGCAACUGGAGAGCGGCGCGGCCAUGCCGUAAAACACCCAACUUCUGAAUGUUGACCUCGAAUCAGGUAGGAAUACCCGCUGAACUUAAGCAUAUCAAUAAGCGGAGGA